AUUUUGAUAGCUAUCUGAUGAAUAUCGACGGAACUUGUGUGAAAUUCCAUUCCUCGUCUAACCUUGCAUCAAAUCUUGUAGAAGCAACAAUAAAUGAGAAAAAAGUCUUUGUACAGAGUUUGUCAAGAAAUGGUCAAAAUAUCAAACUUCAACAUUAUGGAUGAAAGGCAUGAAUGACUUUCAAA